CCUCAAUCAGCCACUGCUUAAAUAGGAGGCUCAGACAUCCAGUCCCCGCCGGAUCGUUGAAUUUCCAUGCACAACCUUCACCGCCUCAGCAAAUCCCCAGCCUGAAAACGCUUGGAUCCGCCCGCAGCCUGGACACCUCCCCGCUCCCAGUCCGCCAGCAGCACCCUUGGAAUUCCCCCCUACCCGGGAUCUGGAAGGGAGCCUCUGCCUCGAACCCCUGACUUCCCCAGCUCAUUCCCUUUUGAAUAAACUCUUCUCUUCCUGAAAAUCUGACAAAUGCUGAGCCCAAUAAAGUUUCCCCAAGGGGACAAUAAAGUAUAUUUUAUCUUUGGA